GCUACAGGCUUAACACAUGCAAGUCGAGGGGCAGCAUGGUCUUAGCUUGCUAAGGCCGAUGGCGACCGGCGCACGGGUGAGUAACGCGUAUCCAACCUGCCUUACACUCUUGGACAGCCUUCUGAAAGGGAGAUUAAUACAAGAUGUUAUCAUGAGUAAGCAUUUUCGCAUGAUUAAAGGUUUACCGGUGUAAGAUGGGGAUGCGUUCCAUUAGAUAGUAGGCGGGGUAACGGCCCACCUAGUCUUCGAUGGAUAGGGGUUCUGAGAGGAAGGUCCCCCACAUUGGAACUGAGACACGGUCCAAACUCCUACGGGAGGCAGCAGUGAGGAAUAUUGGUCAAUGGACGAGAGUCUGAACCAGCCAAGUAGCGUGAAGGAUGAAGGUUCUAUGGAUUGUAAACUUCUUUUAUACGGGAAUAAACGAAUCCACGUGUGGAUUUUUGCAUGUACCGUAUGAAUAAGGAUCGGCUAACUCCGUGCCAGCAGCCGCAGUAAUACGGAGGAUCCGAGCGUUAUCCGGAUUUAUUGGGUUUAAAGGGAGCGUAGAUGGGUUGUUAAGUCAGUUGUGAAAGUUUGCGGCUCAACCGUAAAAUUGCAAUUGAUACUGGCAGUCUUGAGUACAGUUGAGGUAGGCGGAAUUCGUGGUGUAGCGGUGAAAUGCUUAGAUAUCACGAAGAACUCCGAUUGCGAAGGCAGCUUACUAACCUGUAACUGACAUUGAUGCUCGAAAGUGUGGGUAUCAAACAGGAUUAGAUACCCUGGUAGUCCACACGGUAAACGAUGAAUACUCGCUGUAGGCGAUAUACAGUCUGCGGCCAAGCGAAAGCAUUAAGUAUUCCACCUGGGGAGUACGCCGGCAACGGUGAAACUCAAAGGAAUUGACGGGGGCCCGCACAAGCGGAGGAACAUGUGGUUUAAUUCGAUGAUACGCGAGGAACCUUACCCGGGCUUAAAUUGCAACCGAAUAUGGCGGAAACGCUAUAGCUAGCAAUAGCGGUUGUGAAGGUGCUGCAUGGUUGUCGUCAGCUCGUGCCGUGAGGUGUCGGCUUAAGUGCCAUAACGAGCGCAACCCUUGCCGAUAGUUACUAACAGGUCAUGCUGAGGACUCUGUCGGGACUGCCAUCGUAAGAUGUGAGGAAGGUGGGGAUGACGUCAAAUCAGCACGGCCCUUACGUCCGGGGCUACACACGUGUUACAAUGGGGGGUACAGAGGGCUGCUACCACGCAAGUGGAUGCCAAUCCCAAAAACCUCUCUCAGUUCGGAUUGAAGUCUGCAACCCGACUUCAUGAAGCUGGAUUCGCUAGUAAUCGCGCAUCAGCCACGGCGCGGUGAAUACGUUCCCGGGCCUUGUACACACCGCCCGUCAAGCCAUGGGAGCCGGGGGUACCUGAAGUGCGUAACCGCAAGGAGCGCCCUAGGGUAAAACUGGUGACUGGGGCUA
rnacentral:rRNA from 1 species